rnacentral:rRNA from 1 species
CAUUACUGAGUUAUUAAAACUCCAAACCCUUUGUGAACCUUACUGUCGUUGCCUCGGCGUGAGCUACGGCUACCCUGUAGUUACCCUAUAGCUACCCUGCAGCUACCCUAUAGUUGACCAGUGGCUACCCUGUAGUUACCCUAUAGCUACCCUGCAGCUACCCUGCAGCUACCCUAUAGUUGACCAGUGGCUACCCUGUAGUUACCCUAUAGCUACCCUGCAGCUACCCUAUAGUUGACAUGUAGCUACCCUGUAGCCGGCUUAUGGCCCGCCGAAGGACCGCUAAACUCUUGUUUUUUUACCACUGUUUCUCUGAAUUGUAAACUUAAAUAAGUUAAAACUUUCAACAACGGAUCUCUUGGUUCUGGCAUCGAUGAAGAACGCAGCGAAAUGCGAUAAGUAAUGUGAAUUGCAGAAUUCAGUGAAUCAUCGAAUCUUUGAACGCACAUUGCGCCCAUUAGUAUUCUAGUGGGCAUGCCUAUUCGAGCGUCAUUUCGACCCUUAAGCCCCUGUUGCUUAGCGUUGGGAAUCUACAGCGUAGUUCCUUAAAGUUAGUGGCGGAGUUAGGGUACACUCUCAGCGUAGUAAUCUUUCUCGCUCGUGUGGUGGCCCUGGCUGCUAGCCGUUAAACCCCUAUAUUUUCUAGUGGUUGACCUCGGAUUAGGUAGGAAUACCCGCUGA